ensembl:lncRNA novel transcript
CAUCCCUAAAAUAUAUGAACCAAUCUGCCUAGAAAUAGCUAGGAAUCUGCCACCAGAAAGAUGAAUAAAAUAAAAGAUUGAAGAAGUAGCAAGUAGCAGUAUGGAAGACUUGUGGCUAAGAAGACACUUCGCACUGUUAUGCACCAGGAGGAUUGACUGUCUCUGUGGCUUGGAGGCAGUUAUACGUAGCAGCAGCAGCAGCAGCAGCAGCAAAAGUUAACAGGAGCCGGAGUCUGUCUUCAAAGAGCAGUCAGUAGAGAUGAAGAGUAGAUUACUGAUUCCAUAGUACAUGUCAGAUACUGCCUAGGGACUUCCUAAGUAGAGGUCAAGGUCCCACUGUUAUACAGGUAGGGGUUAAUGAGCUAGCAAAUUAGGAUAUUAAUAUUAAUGGAGCAUCUUUAGUACCCACAGGCUAAUGAAGUCUGGGGUCAUUUGGGUUAUAUUAACAUGAAACAAAGUGGAAUUUUAGGCCAAACGCAUUUACCAGAAUAAAGAGAGCAAUUUUCCUGAUUAAA